rnacentral:lncRNA from 1 species
CUGGAAUGACAGCAUAAAUCAUCCCCAUAGGAGUCUGAGCAGUCUAGGGAGUAAUCUUAUAGAGCCCUGCUGAGGUAAAUAAGAACAGUAAUUUGAAAUAAAUAAAAGACCAAUGGUGCUAAUGUGGAUGUCUCAAGAAUGUCAUUAAGUUUGUAAUGGCAGUGUUUCUUUGGUGUAACAAUCCUGGAUGUAGUGUAAUGCUGCUCUUUAAAUCAUAACUUUAUAGUUCAUGAUCCUGUCUCUUUUUCUUCAGAGAGUAUGUCAAGUUGGCUGUUUUUCCACAUCUAUUCUCCAAACACCAGCGCUUUGUCGAAGAGCGUAUGCACAUGUGAAGUGUGAAAAUUGGAAAAAAGCAAUAGAUGAUGCUAACAAGGCUGCCCAAUUGGACCCUGCAAACCCUGUAAGUACUAGUGAUAUGAACCGUAUGUUCUAGCAUUUAAUUUCCAUUAGUGCUUGAUUUUGUUCGUUUAGCUCUUACUGAUGUCCCAGAAAUCAUUUGUCUAGUCUGAUGUAUUUGUUGUGUGGGAGCACUACAUUGACUAGCUUUUAAAUGGUGAUACUGUAAUCAAAAU